GACGAACGCUGGCGGCGUGCCUAAUACAUGCAAGUCGAGCGAUGAAGAUUGGUGCUUGCACCAAUUUGAAGAGCAGCGAACGGGUGAGUAACGCGUGGGGAAUCUGCCUUUGAGCGGGGGACAACAUUUGGAAACGAAUGCUAAUACCGCAUAACAACUUUAAACAUAAGUUUCAAGUUUGAAAGAUGCAAUUGCAUCACUCAAAGAUGAUCUCGCGUUGUAUUAGCUAGUUGGUGAGGUAAAGGCUCACCAAGGCGAUGAUACAUAGACGACCUGAGAGGGUGGUCGGCCACAUUGGGACUGAGACACGGCCCAAACUCCUACAGGAGGCAGCAGUAGGGAAUCUUCGGCAAUGGGCGGAAGUCUGACCGAGCAACGCCGCGUGAGGGAAGAAGGUUUUCGGAUCGGAAAACUCUGUUGGUAGGGAAGAACGUUGGUGAGAGUGGAAAGCUCAUCAAGUGACGGUAACUACCCAGAAAGGGACGGCUAACUACGUG
rnacentral:rRNA from 1 species